UACGUAGGCAGCGAGCGUUGUUCGGAGUUACUGGGCGUAAAGGGUGUGUAAGCGGUUGUUUAAGUUUGGUGUGAAAUCUCCCGGCUCAACUGGGAGGGUGCGCCGAAUACUGAAUGACUUCGAGUGCGGGAGAGGAGAGUGGAAUUCCUGGUGUAGCGGUGAAAUGCGUAGAUAUCAGGAGGAACACCGAUGGUGUAGACGGCUCUCUGGACCGUAACUGACGCUGAGACACGAAAGCGUGGGGAGCAAACAGG
rnacentral:rRNA from 1 species